rnacentral:rRNA from 1 species
UACGGAGGGUGCAAGCGUUAUCCGGAUUUACUGGGUUUAAAGGGUGCGUAGGCGGGUUGGGAAGUCAGUGGUGAAAUACUUUCGCUUAACGAAGGAACUGCCAUUGAUACUAUCAAUCUUGAAUGUAGUGGAGGUAGGCGGAAUGCGUCAUGUAGCGGUGAAAUGCUUAGAUAUGACGCAGAACACCAAUUGCGAAGGCAGCUUGCUACACUACUAUUGACACUGAGGCACGAAAGCGUGGGGAUCAAACAGG